rnacentral:tRNA from 1 species
GGGCGCAUAGCUCAGUUGGUACGAGCGCUGCGUUGACAUCGCAGAGGUCUCUGGUUCGAAUCCAGAUGCGCCCACCA